UUUGGNNNNNNUUUUUAGCACUUGNUCAAAAGCAGGCUCCGAAUUCGCCCUUAGAGUUUGAUCCUGGCUCAGGAUGAACGCUAGCGGAAGGCUUAAUACAUGCAAGUCGAGCGGUAUAGUGACUUCGGUUGCUAGAGAGCGGCGCACGGGUGAGUAACGCGUACAUGACCUACCUCUAAGACUGGGAUAGCCCUGGGAAACUGGGAUUAAUACCGGAUGUGAUAAUAAGUAUAAGGAUUUAUUAUUAAAGUUACGGCGCUUAGAGAUGGGUGUGCGUCUGAUUAGCUAGUUGGUAGGGUAAGGGCCUACCAAGGCGACGAUCAGUAGGGGGCGUGAGAGCGUGAUCCCCCACACGGGUACUGAGACACGGACCCGACUCCUACGGGAGGCAGCAGUAGGGAAUAUUGGUCAAUGGACGAAAGUCUGAACCAGCCAUUCCGCGUGCAGGAAGAAGAUUCUAUGGAUUGUAAACUGCUUUUAGCAGAGAAGAAACGCCUUCAUUGAUGAGGGUUUGACGGUAUCUGCGGAAUAAGCACCGGCUAACUCCGUGCCAGCAGCCGCGGUAAUACGGGGGGUGCAAGCGUUAUCCGGAAUCACUGGGUUUAAAGGGUGCGUAGGCGGGAAAUUAAGUCAGUGGUGAAAGGCUGUUGCUUAACUAUAGAAUUGCCCCUGAUACGGAUUUUCUUUAAUUGAGUUGAGGUCACCGGAUUGUACCCAUGUAACUGUCAAAUGCAUCAGCAUUGUCAUGCAACUCUACUGCGUGGGCAGCCGAUGCGCCUUGAUUAUACCAACUGCGCAGAACCCAGUUAAAGUACCUAGUAAGAUGCCUGUCACUCACCUCCUCAACAAACAGACUCCAGAUCUGUCGAGAUGC
rnacentral:rRNA from 1 species